UCCUAAACAAAUUAGAUCCGGAUCUAAACACCAACCCAUAGUUCACCCAACCAAACCCUAAAAUAAUUACAAACCAAAACAGCUAACAACUACUUUCUUCUUCUUCUAUAAUGGGUGACGAAGGUUGGCAUGUGGUUGUUGGUUAGGUGGUCGUUGAAAGAUGUUGGUGAAAUGGCGGUAUUGGGUUUCUGGUGUGAGUCGGUUGAAGUCCAUGGUGAGGUUGAUAAUGGACCUCUGACAAGGAGGAAGCGCGCGUUGGGCAAACGAGAAGGAUAACGAAGCUCAAGUGAAGUGUAACAGCUCCAGCGAGGGGGAUAACGGAGCUUUGUUUCUUCAUUAGUAGGAAUUCUUUUUUGGUUUUUUGUUCUUGAGUUUUUUAAAUAUUGAUUCCGAUACUUGGAGAUGUUUAUGGAUGUGAUAUUACAUGUUUUCAACCUUUUAGAUUUACUAUGAUCAAUGCAUCUGUUAAUUGCUUCUUCUUCUUUUUUUUUUAAUUUAAGCAUUAUAUUUUAAUAUUUUCAUAAAAUGCUUUGGCUUUUUCCAGGUAAAAUCUUAUGCACGGUUAAGCUCUAUAGAUGAAUUUGCGGGCAUCCAACUCGAAUCCAAUCUGGGCUGUUUUGGAGACAAAAGAUGGUUAUGGUUCUAGUGCAAUUCAGAUCCCGAUUACCCAGGACAAUUUGGGUCAGAUUCAACCUCCGGUGAUUGCAUACGCGAUGCUGCAACCCCAGGGUUGUGCGGUGUUUUUUAGGUUGCCAUAAAUGAUACUUACAUAAGAUAGAUGUCGGUGGAAGAAUUUUCGUUGGAGGUGCAAAACGAAGGACAGCUUGGUUUGAUUCAAGACUGUAAAAUGUAUAAGUUGUUUUCGUGCAUAAAACGUAUUAGUUUCAAUCAAAAUUGUAAAUGUUAAGAUUGUAACCACUAGUUUUCGGAUGCAUAAAGUUGUGUUUCAGUUUUACAAGUGAUAUCUAGUCUUUUAGGUUUGGUUUUUUACAGGACUGUAAAGUUGUGUUAUAUAUUUCUAAUU